rnacentral:rRNA from 1 species
CAGCAGCCGCGGUAAUUCGAGGGGUGCAAGCGUUAAUCGGAAUUACUGGGCGUAAAGCGUGCGUAGGCGGUGAGUUAAGUCUGCUGUGAAAUCCCCGGGCUCAACCUGGGAAUGGCAGUGGAUACUGGCUCGCUAGAGUGUGUCAGAGGAUGGUGGAAUUCCCGGUGUAGCGGUGAAAUGCGUAGAGAUCGGGAGGAACAUCAGUGGCGAAGGCGGCCAUCUGGGACAACACUGACGCUGAGGCACGAAAGCGUGGGGAGCAAACAGGAUUAGAUACCCCCGUAGUCCCUGUCUCUUAUAC